CUCAAAUCUCAUCUACAAAAUAAGGAGACUGAAUUAGUUGAUUUCAAGGUCCCUUUUGGCUUUAAACCUAUGAUAUUGUGAUCUGUGCAUAACAGUAUCAGCAUUCUAAUUUCCCAUUGACUGACAGUCUUUUAUUUGAAGUGUAGACUACCAUCUUGCAUUGGUGUACGCCAUAACCAAUGGACCAGGAAAGCAGCACCAAAGAAAGUGUGGGCCAGGACCCACUCCUGUUACUGAAAACCCUUCAAACUCUGUGGACAAAGAGAGAGCUGCAGAAGGUAAGUCCUUUUCUUGGAGCCUGCCCCCCUGCACAAUGGAGCUCCUGGCUGUAUGCAGAGCAUGUCCAGCCCAGUGCAGGGCUGUCAGGACUGUAAUUGUGUUUGGUUACAUUACGCAGAGGGAAAGCCCUGCCGAUUGGCAGGCUGGGGGAGGAGGCAGGUCUGUCUGCUUCUCAGCAGACCUGGGGCACAAAGGAGAGCAUUCCUCAAUACUAAGGCAAAAGGGCUGGAAGCCUAAAAUUUCAGCUCUUUUUUUCUUCCUCAGCACAAAACCAGAGUGAACCAAUUUGGGAUCUAUGAAGCAUGUUGUAAUUCUUUGUCCUUAAAUAGCACCUUUGGUAGAGGUCAAAGUACUUUACUCUCAUUAACCUUCACAGUACUCUAGUGCAGUAGCUCAGGAACAAGGAU
rnacentral:lncRNA from 1 species